UAUCCAGUGCCGUGCCGGAAGGAGAUACAUACAGCCCCCUAAGUGGCUCCCUAGCGCCCAGGCCUCGUAUUUGCAUAUGAAUCCGCAACUCUGUGUCUGUAUCUAUGUGGGCCUUAGUGAGUGUAUGUGUGCACUUGAGUAUCUUAAGUUCUGGGCCAGGUGCGCUCUGCCGCUGCGGUCUCUGGAAUGUGCUGGAAAGAUGAUAUGUAUUUGGGUCCAAAGACGGAUUUCUCACACAAUUGUGACCUCAAUUGGACCCAAAGUUAUGUGUAUAUGGAGCGGAAAUUCAAAGGUUGCACAAGUGUUGAGACGCACAAGGCGAAAGGGAGUCAAGUGGUAGCCACUCGGGUGCAACAAGAUUGCAAUGUCAUAGAAUUUGAACAGUAAAG